UACGAAGGGGGCUAGCGUUGCUCGGAAUCACUGGGCGUAAAGCGCACGUAGGCGGGAUGGCAAGUCAGUCGUGAAAUCUCUCGGCUCAACCGAGAAACGUCGGCUGAUACUGCCGUUCUUGAGGGAUGCAGAGGAGACUGGAAUUCCCGGUGUAGCGGUGAAAUGUGUAGAGAUCGGGAGGAACACCGGUGGCGAAGGCGGGUCUCUGGGCAUCUCCUGACGCUGAGGCGCGAAAGCGUGGGGAGCAAACGGG
rnacentral:rRNA from 1 species